rnacentral:ncRNA from 2 species
UCAUAUUAACAGGGGAGCUGGAAUAUGGCCGGCUGAGAGUGUAUCACGACAGGAUACUGACCCUUUCAACCUGAUCUGGGUAAUGCCAGCGUAGGAAGCUCAUGUGUACGGCUG